rnacentral:rRNA from 1 species
GACGAACGCUGGCGGCGUGCUUAACACAUGCAAGUCGAACGGAAAGGCCCUGCUUUUGUGGGGUGCUCGAGUGGCGAACGGGUGAGUAACACGUGAGUAACCUGCCCUUGACUUUGGGAUAACUUCAGGAAACUGGGGCUAAUACCGUAUAGGAGCUCCUGCUGCAUGGUGGGGGUUGGAACGUUUCGGCGGUUGGGGAUGGACUCGCGGCUUAUCAGCUUGUUGGUGGGGUAGUGGCUUACCAAGGCUUUGACGGGUAGCCGGCCUGAGAGGGUGACCGGCCACAUUGGGACUGAGAUACGGCCCAGACUCCGACGGGAGGCAGCAGUGGGGAAUAUUGCACAAUGGGCGGAAGCCUGAUGCAGCAACGCCGCGUGCGGGAUGACGGCCUUCGGGUUGUAAACCGCUUUCGCCUGUGACGAAGCGUGAGUGACGGUAAUGGGUAAAGAAGCACCGGCUAACUACGUG